rnacentral:rRNA from 1 species
GUACACACCGCCCGUCGCUGCCCGGGACUGAAUUGUUUCGAGAAAAGCGGGGACUGCUGAUUUGAGAGCUUUCGGGCUUAAAUUUUGGCGAGAACCGCCUUAAUCGAAACGGUUUGAACCGGGCAAAAGUCGUAACAAGGUUUCCGUAGGUGAACCUGCGGAAGGAUCAUUA